CCAUAGUAGGAAACACAACAGCUUCGUGUAGCAGAGUAGUAGUGAGUAUCGACGCACAGUUCGAAACACAGGAACCAGACUCACAUAGACCAUCCGCACAGGGAAGCUAGAGAUUCAGUGGGUUUCCUUGGGCCUGUUUCGCUCCUCAGUUCACCGUUUUUCUGGUGCUGUUGUCAUCCGGAAGGAGUAUGGACGUCCCAGGCGAGGCAGGCUCCUUGCUUCUGUCACGUGGUCUCGAUCAGGUGUCACCGACAAAGGUGUAAAACAAGUAAACUCUCGCUUUCAUGGUUGACAGAGCAUGAUACCAAGGUGGAAGAAAGGGAAGGAGAAGAUUUGCGAUGCCGCUUCUCACUCCAUGGCAUACUCGUGUCCUGCCUCUUCCACAUCCACGGUAAGCCUGCAGUGGAUAGCGUGUGGCCGUCACUGUUGCGUCGGCUGGGUUAUCUGUUCAGCAUUUCCAGCAUCUUCCGCCUCUGUGUCUCUGGGAUGACUAGUAUGGCGGCGUAGCGAUGGGUUCCUUGCUACCAAAGUGAAGUGGUUACCUGACUGGCUCUGUGGUUCUCGAGUUUGGUUUGUGGUUUGCUGACUGGUUGGGGACAGAGUACGUAAGGCUGCACAAACUGUUGGGCAAGAGGGAUGCAGAGGAGAGUGGUCGUGUGACUGUGUACUGGUUGUCUACACAACCACUGACUCGGAUAUAUACAAGUGAAUGUAAGUAAAUCAGAUCUCUGAAUCCUAACUUGGCUGUUUGAUUUCACUUUUAUAUGUAAGAGGGGGCACUGGCCAAAACAAUAAAAAAGAAAGAAAAAUGAAGCCCGCUAUGGUACCAGUCCCUAAAGAGCUAAAUGGACUAUAAAAACCUGAAGUACAAGUGUCUUGAAACUACAUUACAUUAGCUACAGAAACUACAUUACAUUAGCUACAGAAUAAGAAGAAAAUUAGCUGAUAUGGAAGAGCAAGGUGUAAUCUUAAUAUUCUUUUGUGUUUGUUAGCGUGAUGAGUUUUGUGGGUCUAGGCGCAUUGAGGAAGUUGAGGGAUAGAGCGGCAGCCUUGCACGGGGCUUUCCAGGGAGGCAGCAGUCAAUCAGUUCAGUUCAGUCAAGUAACUCGUUUGCUGGCAUUUGUUCACUUAUCUGGCCACUACAUUACAUCUUCAAGAAUUACACGAAAGAUUAAUCUGUUCCGUGAUUAACUAACCUACUGCUUAGCGUAAUGAGUGAUGGACCGAUUAGAUUAGUGACUGAGUGGAUGUCUAGAUUCUGUGCUUAUACCGACUGGCUGACUAGUUAGCUAAUUGUAAUGGCGACUGACUGUCCUGGUACCCAGCCAUGACUAGAGCUGACUGGAUGACUUAGCAAGUGGUUGAUGGCUUGUUUGACUGAGUGACCGCCUGACUGACUGAAUGACCUGUUAACCGAUUGACCGACUAAUUAGACGGUUAUGUGGCUGUAUGACUGGCUCUUUGGUGUCUGGUUGACCGGUAGGCUGGUUGGGCUGCCGGCUGGCGUCUGGCUGCUGAUCGGCUAAAGGUGGCUGGAGGGCGAGGGAAGGUGGGAACCGAAGGCGCCUCAGACAAAACCGCGUCGCAGUUGCCCUCCGCAGGGAUGUAGUGGAGGCCAGGACCGAGGAGGGGAGCCACACGAGGUGCUUUUUAGUGCUCACCCAGACCCUCUUUCCCUCCUCCUUCUCCUCCUCUUCCUCUUGCUGCUUCCUUCCCCUGUCCCCCGCCCCCCUCCUGCCCCCCAAACACCCGCCGGUCAGGGACGCCUAGCAAGAGAAAGUGACCUGACGGGUGUGUGGUUACCUCAGGCUCCCCUCCUCCACCACCACCACAGCGACCUCCUCCUCCACCACCACCACCACAGCCACCUCCUCCUCCACCAUGACCACCGCUACCGCCGUAAAUACAGCAAGGCCUGGGGAGAAGGGUAGCGGCUGGCCACAGCCUGCGCCAUCUCCACCCCGACGUGGGUGAAUUGCCGCAGUUGCUGCAGCCACAAUUUGUACAGCCCCACGCCGUUCUUGUCCACCUUUACGCUGUUGGUGCUGCUGCCCUCUGCAUACCAGGAAAACAGCGCCUCGCUCUUCUCGCGCCUGGGGGAGGAGCAGUGGUCCAGAAUCAAGUCUAAUGGAUGCGCUUCUGAAGGACACUUUGCUCGAAGAUUGCAUACAUACCAGACAGCCACCACUCGACAUGAGUCAAGCUUGUAGUGUCCCAUUUUGUCCGUUGGUCAACAUACAUUUCCCAAGUGCAUGAAUAUUCCUGGCACACAAGCUCCUCUGACCACUAGUGACAGGUGUGGGGUGCCAAGGGUUGCCUGCCACUGCCUACACAAGUCACAGAGUCCUGCCUCUCCAUCCCAGCCAUGCAUCUGCUUGCCCACAGCAGAGACAAAGUCCUCAAUUCUCAUCACCACCAGUGCUGCCUCAUCUGCUUGGCUCUCCUGAAGAAGAAUGAACAGUGAAAGUGGAUUGGCUCUGAAGAAGGUCACUGAGGCUGCCACUGGGCCAUCCACCACUCUGCAGGACACCCCUGCCUCCUGAAGCUGGCUGAGCACAAGGCCACCUUCCCUGGCCUCCACUAGCCUCCGCUCCAACUCCACCACCAGCAGCUGGGUAUGUCAGGCAACCAAUGUUUAUCAAUGCAUUAUAUUUGUUUUCAUGGCAAAAUGUUAACAUAUGUGAAAAUUAAGUUCCUAUUUUAAUGAUUCAAAAACUCAGUGCUGUUGCUAAGUUCAAAAGAGAACCUGAAGAUGAAGGGGAAAAAAAAUGCAUCUGAAAAGAUGGUGAAAGACUUACAGGACAUAAUCAUUGGAUGUGGAAAGCGAAAUGUUGGGAUUCUGUUAAAGUUUUACAUUCUCUCCCUCCUUUAUUAUAUAUUCCAUUAAUUUUGCUGUUUUCUUUGCCUUCACUCAAUAAUUUUCCACCUUGCUGCACUGUUUGAGUUGAUCCUUUUUUAUUAAGUAGGCUGAGAAAUAAAUGAACUGCUUUUAUGAACAUUUGCUUUGUCAAAUAAUUAAUCAAAGUCAGGUUAUAAAAAUACUGCCACAGUAUUUGCUGUGUAUCAUGAAAGGAAUGGAGUGGGAGAUUGGGAAUCCCCUCCUCUGUAUUCUUAUUCCUGCAAUGCAGCAAAGCAUGACAUCUUCUCUAAACUGCCCACCUCAUUCAUCAUCAGUACAUACUGGCAUUCAUCCUACUGUCAUCACCAAUAAUGCCUCUUAACUCAUUAUCGCAAUCAUGUGUACACUUUCACUCUUGCCACACAAUUCAAAGUGCAUUGCCUACCCAAAGCCUUUUAGUGAGUCAGACCAAAUACCUCUGUCUACUAUUCACCUUGAGACACUCCCCAGGCUUCUGGGCACGACUCAUACAUUUGUUCUCCUCUCGCCUUGCCUUGGCUGCUUCCUUUUCAAGGGCACGUUGGUGCUUCUCUGCUGCACGCCGCUGUUUUGCUUCCUCCUGCCACUGAUUCUUUUCUUCACGCCGCUGUCUUGCUGCUUCUCGUUCCUCUUUUGAUGUUGCUUUUCUGGGUUUUUUGACAGCCUAGAAAAUUUUGUAUAAUUCCUUUCCUUGAAGCUGCAAGUUUUUCAAGACUGCUUCACCAACACGUGGUGCAUCAAAUAUAUGUUUAUUGUGAUGAAUGGUUUACUUUCAGUUAUUCUGUAUUCUCUUAUUGUUUACUAUUUGGAUACUAUUUUGAUGGACUGUUUGCCCCACCUGCUGACUUCCUGAGGAUUGUGGGAGGUUGACCUUAUGGAGUUGUGGCUCCUUGUCACUAAGACAUGGUGCUACAAGCGGCCCCUCAUCACUGAGACAUGGUGCAUCAAACGGGUCUUCAUCACUGAGACAUGGUGCAGUAGGUGGCUCCUCCUCAAUGAGAUAUGAUGCUUCGAGUGGCUCCUCCUCAAUGAGACAUGGUGCAGCUGAUGGCUCCUCCUCAAUGAGAUAUGAUGCUGCAAGUGGCUCCUCCUCACUGAGACGUGGAGCUGCAAGUAGAUCAUCAUCAGCAUUGUUAUUAAAUAUCAUUUUCAGCAUA